CUCUUUAUAUUUCCCUCUCUAGCACAAAUAAAAACACAAUCUUUCCCUGUCUUACUACAUAUAAAACUCAUUCUUUUCUUUUUUUCUUUUAGUUUUUGAGAGAGAGACCCAGUAGAUCGAAAUCUUCUAUCUUCUAUCUCUCCUUUUUUUUUUUUUGAAGUUUGGAGAAGAUCUAAGCUCUCUAAUGGAUUUGCAAUAACACCCACUUUUUUAUUAGCCGUGUGAUUAUGAUUUUUUUUAAGCUUAUUUGCUGGGUGUGUGUUUUGAUAGUGUCAGUCUCUUGGACUCUUUGAAAUUUGUCAAUGGUGUCUGUCGAAUGAUUGAAUCUAUGGGAAUUCUUGGGUAUAUGAGAUAAUAGGAUAUGGGUAUGAGGUAAUAUUUAUUUAUUUAUUUUGCAUUUUCUUUCAAUCUAAUUUGAUUCACGGUUUUUCCUUGUUUGGCUCUUUGAUUAAUUAGGUUUUAAUUUGUUUCAUGCUUUUAUUAGUAAGUAGUCUUGAUUUUGAGUUUGAUAAAUUGUUGGGAUUAUUGCUUGAUCUGGGGAUUAAAACAAAAGACACUUUCUAUAUCUGGGGAUUUUAGUUUAGUUUGAUUUUUGGGUUUUUCUUAUUUGGUGAUUUGGUUAAUUAAGUUUUAAUUUGUUUUCAUGCUUUUAUUAAUAAGUAGUUUUGAGUUUGAGUUUGAUAUAUUGUCGGGUUUAUUGCCUGAUCUGGGGGAUUAAAACAAAAGAUCACCUGUUUCAUCUUGGGGAUUAAAAUAAAAGACACCUGUUUGAUCUGGGAGGUAGUGAAGCACCAUGACAAACCCCAGAUCUUUUAGCAGAGAAGGUAAUUGUCCAGUUUUAGAUUCUGGGACCCACGUGAAAUAACAUAUAGCUCUGGUACUGAUAUGUAAAACAAAAACAUGUUUGAUCUGGGACGCUGGUGAACUUGAGAGUUGAGAGAAUUUUUGGGCCUUCUAGGGUUUUGAUUCGUCAUGAACUCAUGGGCCCAUGGAGAGGGCAUCUUUUUCCUGUUUAAAAACGAUAUACCCAAGAUGGAGCGAUUGCAAUGAUCUGGAGAGAAACAAUGAGAGAGACCUUUGUAGAUGAGAUGAUCUGGCUAAAAGCCCUUUUAGGGCUUCUGCGGCCGCUUUUUACCUUUAACAACAAUCGGGUAUUGCUAACUUUCCUGUUUUUAUUUUUACUGUUCAAUCUUCCAGUUCCAAAUUCUCAUACCCUAACUUGCAAUGCUCCUGCGCCUAGCAUUAGAUUUAUUGUGAGGAAUGGCAUAUGAUGUUUAUAUUUUAAACAUCUCUAUUAACUGCCUCUGAAACUUGAUUUUGCUUUUUUCUGUUUUGGUGUUCAAACUUGGCAUUUAACUGCUUUGUAUGAAAUCUAAAUGCUGGUGCCAUAAUAAAUGUUGGAUAUUUACAAUUAUAAUGCUUGGAUGGAUAUUAUUUGCAAAGACAGGUGGAAGGAUAUUGUUUUGCAAAGGCAAGUGGAUGAGGUUAAAAUUUAGUUAAAAUACAAUGGUCAGCCAGGGUUACGCUUCUGACUUUCAUAGUCAUAACAUCCUGAUCAAUGGCCAUUGUAAGAGUAGAAGGAUCCAUGAAGCAAAACAUUGACUCCUGAUAUUCCACUCUUACAGAGUCCAUUGAUUAAGAUGUUAUAACAUUGUUCUGAAAGGAUUUCUUCUCAAAAACUGCACAUCAUGUGUUGUGCAAGAUCUCAAUGAAAAAGUUUGGAUCUGGUAUCAGAUGGAAAAAUUAUACUGUGUUUCUACGAGGAGAUUCUCAAAAUGGGAAUUUCAAUCGGAAUAUCUUUUUCAGCUCAGCAGUGCUGUGGUGGUUUUUCUUUAAAAAUAGCUAUGCUGCUACAACUCAUUUUGAUGAUCGAGACCAUGUUGCAUUACAGGAUACAGAUUCUCACUUCUGUAUCUCAAUUAUCUGUGUCCUGGUGAGAUACUUCUCAUCCGUGAAGAGAUAAGUCAAGUUCAAGAAGAACCCCUUUCCCCUUGUAAUUGUGUGAUCUUCAUGUAAAUUCUGACGAAGAUAGAAUCAUAACUUGAGAGCAAACUCUGAAAUGUUAUAGCAUCGAUUAUUUCAUCUGAACAGCACAUGCAUCUUUCUAUCUGAUCAUUGUUCACAUUUCCUAUGUUUUGAUCAUGUAACUAUGUGACAAUCAAAAAAUGAUGGGCACGUGCUGCUUAAUCAA